GAAAAGAAACCAACCGGGAUUGCCUUAGUAACGGCGAGUGAAGCGGCAAAAGCUCAAAUUUGAAAUCUGGCGUCUUCGACGUCCGAGUUGUAAUUUGAAGAAGGCAACUUUGUAGCUGGUCCUUGUCUAUGUUCCUUGGAACAGGACGUCAUAGAGGGUGAGAAUCCCGUGUGGCGAGGAUCCCAGUUAUUUGUAAAGUGCUUUCGACGAGUCGAGUUGUUUGGGAAUGCAGCUCUAAGUGGGUGGUAAAUUCCAUCUAAAGCUAAAUAUUGGCGAGAGACCGAUAGCGAACAAGUACAGUGAUGGAAAGAUGAAAAGAACUUUGAAAAGAGAGUGAAAAAGUACGUGAAAUUGUUGAAAGGGAAGGGCAUUUGAUCAGACAUGGCGUUUGCUUCGGCUUUCGCUGGGCCAGCAUCAGUUUUAGCGGUUGGAUAAAUCCUCGGGAAUGUGGCUCUGCUUCGGUAGAGUGUUAUAGCCCGUGGGAAUACAGCCAGCUGGGACUGAGGAUUGCGACUUUUGUCAAGGAUGCUGGCGUAAUGGUUAAAUGCCGCCCGUC
rnacentral:rRNA from 1 species